GAAAAGAAAGAAAGAAAGAAUCCUCAGUAAAAAAGAAAGAGCAGUGAAUUGAAGAGAAAGAUGAGUUGGUUGGUGUUGGGGGAUUGUUAGUUUCUUUUUGUGAGUUGAAAAGAGGAAAGUUUUUCUUUCCUCUUGUUGUUCUCACAU
rnacentral:ribozyme from 13 species